CGCGUAGGCGGUUUUGCAAGCCAGAGGUGAAAUGCCUGAGCUCAACUUAGGAAUUGCCUUUGGGACUGCGAGGCUUUGAGGACUGGAGAGGUGAGUGGAAUUCCCAGUGUAGAGGUGAAAUUCGUAGAUAUUGGGAAGAACACCGGUGGCGAAGGCGGCUCACUGGCCAGUUUCUGACGCUGCAGCGCGAAAGCGUGGGGAUCAAACA
rnacentral:rRNA from 1 species